rnacentral:tRNA from 1 species
GCGUUCGUGGUGUAAUGGUCAGCACACUGAGCCGGUAUUUCAGAGGUCCGUGGUUCGACUCCCGGCAAAGGAA